UAAUAUAAUUUACAAGUACGAAUUUAAUAAAAAAUUCAUAAUAGUAAUACAUUCAAUCCCAUGGCUUUUUCUAUCGAAGCUCUUCAGAGUAAAUCCAAAUUAAAUACAAAAUAUCGACAACAUUCAAUUACGUUGUGGUCGGAGCUGAGAUUGAGAGAAGACCAAUCCAUCCUCUUUUCAGUGAUACCAAAUUUAAAAAAUCUCGCAAUAUCACUUUUUUAUAAAAUGAAAGACAUAUUAAAAAUAAAUAACGACAAUCGAAAGGUGCUAAUUUUAAACUUAGACGAAGAAAAUCUUGAAACUAUUACUGUCGCCGAAGAAACAAACUCCGAAGGAUUUAUUCAAGUUAAUUUUACAAAGAAAAUCAAAACCCUUGAAAAUUGAAUAUUGAUAUUAAGUAGAUAUAUUUUCAGUCAUGACUAAAAAAUACGCAACAAUGUAUUGUACAAUCAUCUAAAUAAAUAAACAUAUCAUUAUUUA